rnacentral:pre_miRNA from 1 species
AAUAUACUCCCCCCGUCCUAAAAUUCUUGUCUUAGAUUUGUGUAGAUAUGAAUGUAUCUAAUCACAUUUUAGUAUUUAGAUACAUCUAUUUCUAAACAAACCUAAGACAAGAAUUUUGGGACGGAUGGAGUAUAUA